AUAACCACCCGUUUCAACGUUUAGCUGACGUGGAAGCUGAUGCUGUAAUGGCAGUACCACUUGGCAUAUUGCAGCGUACACAUGGCAUAUUUCCAAACAUGCGGGAUAAAGACCUAUCGAGCUCUGUAAAAGUAUGACCACGAGAAGACCGUGCCUUUUACGUCCACGUUACAAGAUUUAUCGGACGAGAUUUCGGUCUCCAUCCACUGCUGUUUGUUACUGCGAGAACCAAUGUUGUGUAUCGACCAAGGCAAGACGAUCCCAGCCAGACCCAGUUUGGACCUGGUGUGGAAUGAUAUUAUAAAGACCCGAUUUUGUAAAAUGGGUGAAUCGGGUUUUGUGGGUCAAUGCCAAGUUUGGUUACGGGUUGAGAGUUUGAUACGAUUGGAUAUUCCAAUUCCAGUCACAGUGGAGAUACCAUAGUACUAGCACGAAUGAAUUUAUAUUUAAAGUCUCUGGCUCCAAAUCUGAACGCUCGGAGGUAUAGUGCUUUGACUGCUUGCAUAUAACUCAGGAUCUUAGUCACAAAUAUUGUGUCGCUUAGUAUGGAGACCAUCAAUUGCUGUGCGUUUCAAGUAUGUUCCUCCGGAGGUGACAACGGGGACCCAUUUUUACAUUUUUACCAAAAUCCUUUAUUCGCCAUGCUAAUUGAGCUAUUUGGGUAUUUCUUUCAAUGAAUGACACUGUGACUGAAGUUGGAUAUGGAGUUUUGAGAAUUAAAGCAAAUGAUUCAAUGUUCACAUCAAUUCCUUGAGGUGGUGGAGUUGAUUGUGUUUACUGUGCACCCAAUAACACUGUUGAGCUAGCCUUGCACUUGCUUGAUAUUGGUAUCUCACUCAAGUUGAUAAUCAUCGAUGCCCGCAAUCCAUUUUGUUUCGAGGAUGAAGAUGAGGAUUCAGCUAAAAGUUGUGCCAAGCAAGAGCAAAACUGAGAGCCAAUAUCUCCCCAGGGAUAUAAAUAUUGUGAUCCUCAAAUAUGAAAGUUUCCAUGAAGUUGUAGGUGAUGAUGUUUAUCUCUAUCCUCAAGUAUGAAAGUUUCCAUGAAGUUGUAGGUGAUGAUGUUUAUCUCUUUCGUUCUAUGCAUUUUAUAAAAGUAGAAAUAAGCCUUCUUGUUCAUCCACAAUAUAGAAAAGAGGAUGUAUGGGAAAUGUUGUAAAUGAUGGAUUUGGUAGUCAAGUGAAAACAAUGCUUGUAGAUAUAAACUAAUCUACCAUUGGCAAGACAAUGUGCACCUUUCCUAUUGUACUGGGAUGCUUUUUAUUCCUAAAGUUGCUAAUUUUAAAUGCUUUAAUAGUCUUGAAUGAGAAGUGCAUGAAAUUAUUUUAAAAUGUAACAUUUUAUUAAUUGUUUCUUCAUCUUCAUGUAAUAACCUGGACUUUGAAUCCCAUGUAAAUGUGUAUACAUAUAUAUACAUGUUAUAUUAUGAUUCAAAAAUUAAUCCUAGCGGACUAGCUGACUUAAAAACCAGCUGAGCAAUGACCUUUGUUGGAAAAAGUUGAUUGCUGAUGUGGGCUUGGAUACUUGAUAAAAGUGAAAAAUAGUCAGGGUAGAUAAGUUUAUGUGAGAGAAGCGACUGUUUUCUUAGUGCCAAAGAAAGGUGCUCUGUUUUUCUCUCUUUGAAGUAGACCUCAAGUUUCAAUCCUGGCCAUUGUAGAUGCUGGUUGUAAGCUUUGUAAUUUCUUCUACUUAAUGAAUCAAUCUUGUUCUUCUUUCUUUGCCUGUGGACAUAAAUCGUCACCUUGACGAUCAAACCACUUAAAAGCUUGUGUUUGUUCCUUGAUUUUCUCUUCUCUGAGUUUUCUAUGUGCUGCUGGUUUUUGUGUCCUUUUGCUGCAUAUUUAGUUGCUUAUGACAGAUUUCUAGUUACCCAUCACAACAAUACAUAAUUUCAAGAUCUAUUAAAGAAAAGGAGGAUCCCAAAAAUAAAAAAUAAAUAAAAAAAUUACUCUUCUUAUAAAGUAAGGAUUCGAAGCUACAAUAUUAAGCAAAAGAAAGGUAUUUGAAGCAAAAAUACAGAGCAAAAGGAAAGGCAAUCGUACAUACUGGUAAUGGGAACAAGGGCUCGUCCCCGCAACGAUCCUAUGCUGGAAAAGAAGGAGGAGGACCAUAUGAAUGAGUUAUCGGAUGAGAUUCUGGUUUCGAUUCUGUGCCGGUUGUCACUGGAUGAAGCAGCAAGAACGAUUGCGCUUUCCCGCAGAUGGAAAAGCCUCUGGACCAGCUCAAUCAUGGCGAGGCAUAGGUUGGAACUGGCAUGGAACAACACGUCCCUUAAAACAGAGCGGUGCAAGUUUGCAGAAUGGGUGGAAGGAGAGCUCAAAUUGCGGAGGUCAACAUCAUCAGCAACUUUGGACAUCUUGAGGGUUCAGUACGAUUUGAAUUCAUGAUGCUAUAAGAGCAUUGAUGCGUGGGUUUCAUUUUCUUGUGAAAAGGGGGUCAAAAGGCUGGAAAUGGAUUUGACGGGACGGGUCGUAGCAGAAAAGAACACAUAUACCCAUAUCAUUUUCCAGAGGUUGAAGAGAUUUCCGCCAUGGUUGAACCUCCUGGUUCACCAACCAAAUUCUUUUCACUGAAGGAGCUCUGUCUGAUGCAUGUCAAUGUCAGUGGAGAGGUUAUUGAGCUCUUCCUUCCAACUCCCCGUUUCUUGAACGUGUUUUUGUGGAGAGAGCAAAGAGUCUCGUCAGUUUGAAGGUUGCAACUGGCAGUUACAUCAUCAUCAUCUGUGAAUCUCAAGUAUUUGGGAAUAUGCUUCUGGAAUGCUAUGAAGUUCCUCAACAUCUCUGUGUCGUUUAGACAUGAUGGACCUAUGAUUGAAGUGCCUUUUGAGAAUGUGCCUAUUCUCUCGGAGGUGUCUUCGGGGCACAGUUACCCCUGUUCCAUAAUAACUAUCCAGAUAUUUGGGUAUUUCUCUCAGUUGGAUAUGGAGUUUGGGACAUUUCCCGAGUUGAGUAACCUUGAGCAGUUGGAAAUGGUGAUAUCAACACACCAUGAGAGGUCUCCUUUGGAACUGUGCUCUGGUAAAGGCAGCUGCUUUCUUGCAUAGCUUUGCAAUAAAGAUGAUUUCCAAGGGGGUGGAUCAUGGAAGAUAUCGAUGAAGAUUCCGAUGAAGAGGGUUGUGGAGGUUAUCAUAUACUGAAGAAGGAGAGACGAUAACUGAAGAUAAAAUGCAGGAAUUAAAGGAAGUUAUUAGAUGUUCACAUCAAUUCCUCGAAGAGGUAUAGUUGAUUGGGUUUACUGGGAAUCCAAAUGUAGUUGAGCUAGCCUUGCACUUGCUUGAGAUUGCUAUCUCACUGAAGGAGAAAACCAUCCAUGCCCGCAUUCCAUUUUGUUUUGAGUAGACCGAGGACGAGAAGGCUAUAAAUUGUGCGAAGCAACUAAGUGCCCGUAUAUCCCCAUGGAUAAAUGUUUGUGAACUUCAGUUUGGAAGUUUCCAUGAAGUUGUGUAGUUUGCUAACAGGCGUAGGUGAUUUAUUUUCUUUUUUGUGCCAUACAUGUAAAAAGGGCCUUAUUUUGUUCAUCCAAUGUAUAGAAAAAGGAUGUUGGAUGAAAUGUUGUAAAUGACGAAUUUGGUAAUUAUUUUUGAAAGCAUAUUAUGGGGUUCCUUGACCUUAUAUUGAGAUGCAUUUUUGUUCCAAAAAUUUUCAUCAACAUGAACUUAAUGCUUUUUUUUUAAGUGUUUCAUUAGUUGAAUGGUAAGUGCCUGAAACUAUUUUAAAAAAUGAACAUU